GGUAAGCAGAGUUAAAAUACAGGCAGUCCUCGGCUUAUGACCACAACUGGGACCAGAAUUUCCGUUCCUAAGCAAAGCAACUGCCAAUUCAGCAACCGACUUUGGGCAGG